rnacentral:rRNA from 1 species
GGGCCCGCACAAGCGGUGGAGUAUGUGGUUUAAUUCGAUGCAACGCGAAGAACCUUACCAGGGUUUGACAUCCUGCGAAUCUCUUGGAAACAGGAGAGUGCCUUCGGGAACGCAGUGACAGGUGGUGCAUGGCUGUCGUCAGCUCGUGUCGUGAGAUGUUGGGUUAAGUCCCGCAACGAGCGCAACCCACGUCUUUAGUUGCCAGCAUUUAGUUGGGCACUCUAGAGAGACCGCCGGUGAUAAACCGGAGAAGGUGUGGAUGACGUCAAGUCAUCAUGCCCCUUACAUCUGGGCUACACACGUACUACAAUGCUACGGACAAAGGGCAGCAAACUCGCGAGAGCUAGCAAAUCCCAUAAACGUGGCUC